ACAAUGCCAACCGUGAGACAGCACGGAGAAGUGAUGGGACGGAGAAGUACUGUGUGCGGUAUCCGCGCUUCAGAAAAAGUGCCCAUGUGGUGCUUCCCAUCAAAGAGGCAGCCUCAUACGGUUAUGCAACAUCAUUAAUGAAGGCCCUUCGGGAAAGCUACACUAAUUCACCUGCAGCUCUUCGAGAGACAAGUCCAAUGAUUUAGUUGUAAGUAUUUAUUUUAGUUAGUUAUCUUCUUUCCCUCUGUCCCUGUCAUCUCAUUUGGUGGUGGUUUCCUGCAUGCUGCAUGGUUUGUUUUUUCUUUGUGUGCUGUUGCUUUGGUUUUACUUUGCACAAAAUUAUUACUUUUUUCCAUCUUUGUAAGUGGCAAUAAUUGUCGCUGUACCCCAUUCAAGGGGUCCUGCAUGCUGCAUGUCUGCUCCUCUGUCUGUUAUUUGCAUGAAAUUUGUUGUAUGUAAUUAAAAAUAAUUUACCAAUCAUUUUACCUGUGCCUUGUCAACCUCUGUGUGCGGUGUUGUCUGGGCUCACUGUGUGUCUGCUUGAUGUGCUUUUGCGUGUGUGUGUGUGUGUGUGAGAGAGAGAAACAAAAGAAACUGUGCAAACGUUUCAGGUCAG